rnacentral:rRNA from 1 species
AGAGUUUGAUCAUGGCUCAGGAUGAACGCUGGCGAGAUCCUUACACAUGCAAGUCAUACGAGAAUUUUUAAUUCAAGUGGCGGACGGGUGAGUAACACGUAAGAAUUUGCCUUUAGGAGGGGGACAACAACUGGAAACGGUUGCUAAUACCCCAUAUGCUUUCGAGUGAAACGGAAUUUUCCGCCUAAAGAGAAGCUUGCGGCUGAUUAGCUUGUUGGUGAGGUAAUGGCUUACCAAGGCGACGAUCAGUAUCUGGUUUGAGAGGAUGAUCAGACACACUGGAACUGAGACACGGUCCAGACUCCUACGGGAGGCAGCAGUGGGGAAUUUUCCGCAAUGGGCGAAAGCCUGACGGAGCAAUCUCGCGUGAGGGAUGACGGCCUAUGGGUUGUAAACCUCUUUUUUCAGGGAGGAAUAAAUGACGUGUACCUGAAGAAUAAGCAUCGGCUAACUCCGUGCCAGCAGCCGCGGUAAGACGGAGGAUGCAAGUGUUAUCCGGAAUCACUGGGCGUAAAGCGUCUGUAGGUGGUUUGAUAAGUCAACUGUUAAAUCUUGAAGCUCAACUUCAAAAUCGCAGUCGAAACUAUCAGACUAGAGUAUAGUAGGGGUAAAGGGAAUUUCCA